rnacentral:rRNA from 1 species
GGUGAACGCUGGCGGCGUGCUUAAGACAUGCAAGUCGAACGGCAGUCUUCGGACUGUAGUGGCGCACGGGUGAGUAACGCGUAACUGACCUACCCCAAAGUCGCGGAUAACGAUUCGAAAGAAUCGCUAAUACGUGAUGUGCUGUCAGAUUGUGUUCUGCCAGUAAAGAUUGAUUGCUUUGGGAUGGGGUUGCGUUCCAUCAGCUAGUUGGUGGGGUAAAGGCCCACCAAGGCGACGACGGAUAGCCGGCCUGAGAGGGUGGCCGGCCACAGGGGCACUGAGACACGGGUCCCACUCCUACGGGAGGCAGCAGUUAGGAAUCUUCCACAAUGGGCGAAAGCCUGAUGGAGCGACGCCGCGUGAGGGAUGAAGGUCUUCGGAUCGUAAACCUCUGAAUCAGGGACGAAAGACACUUUGGUGGGAUGACGGUACCUGAGUAUAGCACCGGCUAACUCCGUGCCAGCCGCCGCCUAAGAC